rnacentral:rRNA from 1 species
AUUGAACGCUGGCGGCAGGCUUAACACAUGCAAGUCGAGCGGGGUGAUGGUGCUUGCACUAUCACUUAGCGGCGGACGGGUGAGUAAUGCUAGGAAUCUGCCUAUUAGUGGGGGACAACAUCUCGAAAGGGAUGCUAAUACCGCAUACGUCCUACGGGAGAAAGCAGGGGAUUACUUGUGACCUUGCGCUAAUAGAUGAGCCUAAGUCGGAUUAGCUAGUUGGUGGGGUAAAGGCCUACCAAGGCGACGAUCUGUAGCGGGUCUGAGAGGAUGAUCCGCCACACUGGGACUGAGACACGGCCCAGACUCCUACGGGAGGCAGCAGUGGGGAAUAUUGGACAAUGGGGGGAACCCUGAUCCAGCCAUGCCGCGUGUGUGAAGAAGGCCUUAUGGUUGUAAAGCACUUUAAGCGAGGAGGAGGCUCUUUUGGUUAAUACCCAAGAUGAGUAGACGUUACUCGCAGAAUAAGCACCGGCUAACUCUGUGCCAGCCGCCGCAGUAA